CCUACGGGAGGCAGCAGUGAGGAAUCUUGGUCAAUGGACGAGAGUCUGACCGAGCAAAGUCGCGUGAGUGAAGACUGCCCUAUGGGUUGUAAACUUCUUUUAUAUGGAAAUAAAAUGUUCCAAGUGAGGGAUCUUGUCUGUACCAUAUCAAUAAGGAUCGCCUAACUCCGUGCCAGCAGCCGCGGUAAUACGGAGGAUACGAGCGUUAGCCGGAUUUAUUGGGUUUAACGGGAGCGUAGGUGGAUUGUUAAGUCAGUUGUGAAAGUUUGCGGCUCAACCGUACAAGUGCAGUUGAAACUGGGAGUCUUGAGUACAGUAGAGGUGGGCGGAAUUCGUUGUGUAGCGGUGAAAUGCUUAGAUAUCACGAAGAACUCCGAUGGCGAAGGCAGCUCACUGGACUGCAACUGACACUGAGGCUCGAAAGUGUGGGUAGCAAACAGGAUUAGAUACCCGUGUAGUC
rnacentral:rRNA from 1 species